rnacentral:rRNA from 1 species
AUUGAACGCUGGCGGCAUGCCUUACACAUGCAAGUCGAACGGUAACAGGUCUUCGGAUGCUGACGAGUGGCGAACGGGUGCGUAAUACAUCGGAACGUGCCCGAUCGUGGGGGAUAACGAGGCGAAAGCUUUGCUAAUACCUCAUACGAGCUACGGAUGAAAGCGGGGGAUCUUCGGACCUCGCGCGGGCGUUGCUGCCGCUGACAGAUUAGGUAGUUGGUGGGAUAAAAGCUUACCAAGCCGACGAUCUGUAGCUGGACUGAGAGGAUGAUCAGCCACACUGGGACUGAGACACGGCCCAGACUCCUACGGGAGGCAGCAGUGGGGAAUUUUGGACAAUGGGCGAAAGCCUGAUCCAGCCAUGCCGCGUGCAGGAUGAAGGCCUUCGGGUUGUAAACUGCUUUUGUACGGAACGAAAAGCCUCUUUCUAAUAAAGAGGGGUCAUGACGGUACCGUAAGAAUAAGCACCGGCUAACUACGUG